CAGAGAUCAUGACCUGAGGAGAAGUUGGACGCUCAACUGACUGAGCCACCCAGGCGCCCCGUGAAUCGCUUUUAUUUCGGUAUGCAUCCACACCUCAGCAUUUAGUGGUCCUGAACAGAAAAGUGGAAAAACGCAGCGAUUUGCCAGGAAGUCAAGCCCGCCAAUUUCGGGGAUCUGCUGUGCACGCCGAGUUCUUUUUUAAUCCCUGCUGAGGACCGUGAGAAACAGCAGCACCAAAACCAAAGUAUGCAACGAAUUCAAGGUUCUUUUUGUUCCAGUUGCCACAUUCCAAACUAGACCCAAACGGAUUGCAAGAUGACCACAUGAGAACCCUGUGUAAAACUUCUUCAAUUUUUAAAAGCAAAAGCAAUUACGGGAAAAGAAAAUUCAUUCAGAGGGAUCGUGGGUGCUUACAAGUGUCUUCUGGGGCCUUUCUCCAAGUUUAACCACCAAGAACUUUGAGAGCUGGCAGGUGUGAGUACCCCUGGUGACUGUUCUUUUCACUUUAUCAAAACCUGAGCUAAAAAACCGCAUCACCUGACGUUG